UGGAAAUUCUCCAAUUUUCCGCACCGUGUGCGGGAAAAGGUUCUUUCCGGUUUUCCCAACACUCGACGGUUCAGUUCGGUUCGGAUACUCAUCGCGAUCGGAGUUGAAAGUCUUCUAUGGGAAAGCUCUGCAACCAGUUGGGCCACAGAAAUUGUGAGGGGUGUGAGUGAAAGUGAAAAAGUGAAAAUCAAGGUUGAAAUUGGAAGGGGGUUGAGGAUGGUGGAGUAGGGCGAGGGGCUUUGUGGGGUGCAAAGAAUUGGUACUUCCGGUUGUGAUGGCGGCAGCCGCGUACGCCAGAUAGGUACCUAACGGACCGUACUGGUUUUGAUAACGAAGUAAAGGGCUUCGCUCAGUGAAACUGCAGUGUGUCUGUGUGGUUGUGCAGGGACAGCCAAGGAUAAUAGUUGAAUUGUUGAUGUUCAUCGCUGCCGCACGAGCCGCUUCCGUGAACACCUUCCUUCACGUGAUUGAGCAGCGUUCGUUUCGGAUGGUGCAGGUGGUUCGGCAGGCUUUUACGAAGCACCAGCAGCCUGUCCAUCACAUUGGCAAUCUCUCAUCAACAUCAUAUUGCGCCAAGACGUUUCCGUAACACAAUAAUUCAACGCCACAUAUGACUUAAUCGCGUGUCACACCGUCAACGUGCGUGCUUUUCACACAAUCGCACCGACCGGAACGAUAUCAUCUCGGCACCGAUAAGAACGUAUAAAACUUUGAUGUGAGAAAUCCCGCUUAGAUAGCCGCGUUUGAUUGGUGAGUGACAGUUUUGGAUCCGACCGCACUCACGGAGAUUCUGCGUGAGACUUACACGUGGUAGGAGAGAACUCGUUAAUGCUCUGAUGCUGAAGAAGAGAGUGCAGCCACACGGCCAGUUCACGUUCACGACGCCGAUAGUCCACCGAAACGGUCGACCAAAUUCACCUUCACGCCGAAUUCCGUUCCGUAGUAUUCGUCGUGAUUUCGGGGUGUGAAGUCGUGUUCGCAGUUGAGUGGUUCUGGCGGUGGUUGCCUUUGAAUGCACCAGCAGGGGUUUUAUUUCAAGUGUCAGCACUUAGUUAGCCAGAAGAAACAGGAAUUUAUUUCAAGUGACAAAUGUGCACGCGUGGGUAGGCGGUGUAGGUGCUGCAACAGCAGGACGACUUAGGGUGCUGCCAAGUGUGUAAUCUACGGUCAUAAUUGAAAUAUUUGUCUUUAUUAAAUUGAAGAUAGAAGACGGCUCGCGACCAGAUUGACCAUCUCGAGUUAGUGUGUGUUGUUCGUGUAACGAGAAGCAUUCGCUGUGGGUGGGUUUGGGUGGCAGUCGAAAGCAGCAGCAGCAUCAUCAUCAGCAGCAGCAGUGUCAGUGAUCUUCACUCGAGGUGUCAGUUGAAAGGCAAAUCAAGGGAACACAAGACCAAAGAAGAAACUGCUUCUGCACAUGUACUGCCGCAUCGGAAAGUGAACCAAAGUCCCUUCCCCUCGCCACCGGAAAAAUGGAAGACAAAUUUUCCGCCCGUUUGACGUCAUCAGCACAGCCGGGGGUGGUGGCGGUACUGACUUUGGCUUCGAGAAGGCAAUCAGCAGCAACAACGACAAAAACAUCACCAGCAGCAGCAGCUGUGGCGGGCACCAUCUGCAGCGAAGCAAAGAACUACAGCUAGGAAGUGGAAAAGCCCUUGAGAUUUGAACCAAUAGCCAGCGGCAGCAGCAUCCGUUUGCUUUUGUGCCAGGUGAUUUUCGAAGAGGAUUGCUAUUUUGACGUGAAAAUCCAGUGAUCUGUUCUGUGCCCCAGGGAGAAAGAAAAAACGAACGAACGAAACAAGAGCCUCAAGUGCGCGUUGCGAACGAGAUACGUUCCCGAAACGUUUUCCAUAUGUGGACAGCAGAUUGGUCUCAGUGAAAAAGAAAACCCUGUACCGACUACGAACACUUAGAGCCGCAACACAGCAGCUCAGUUGUUAGAACAGUGCUUAUUCCGUUCGGCGGUCACCAAGUGGAAAGUGAAACCACCGCAUCGAGUCGGUUUGCAAGCCAGAAGGCUCCCCGAAACGCCGCGACCACGAAUAGGAUAUAUCCGCGCGCGGGAGUGUUUUGCGUGCCAAGGGUGAAGAUUCGCCGUGUUUGUUUUCCCAACGUCACCGACACGCGACACCGCCUACCGUUUUGUUGGCUGGGCUGGUCUGGUUUCUCCGUUGUAGCGUUUCGGAAACACGGCAAGGUAUUUCCAUCUGUUAAAGAGAGUCUCUGUUUAGAAGAAAGGUGGGCGGGCGCGGUUGGGUUCUGUGUGGAAACGCUAAACGUGCCGCAUGAGGAAAAGCGAGAAACAGCGGGAGUUACAGCCAAGGGAAUUUUGUGAAACAUUAGACGAAGCUCAUCACGGAAGGAA